rnacentral:rRNA from 1 species
AACGAACGCUGGCGGCAGGCUUAAUACAUGCAAGUCGAGGGGCAGCAUGAGUGUAGCAAUACAUUUGAUGGCGACCGGCAAACGGGUGCGGAACACGUACACAACCUUCCUAUAAGUGGGGAAUAGCCCAGAGAAAUUUGGAUUAAUACCCCGUAACAUAAUGAUGUGGCAUCACAUUAUUAUUAUAGCUACGGCGCUUAUUGAUGGGUGUGCGGCUGGUUAGAUAGUUGGCGGGGUAACGGCCCACCAAGUCUACGAUCAGUAGCUGAUGUGAGAGCAUGAUCAGCCACACGGGCACUGAGACACGGGCCCGACUCCUACGGGAGGCAGCAGUAAGGAAUAUUGGUCAAUGGACGCAAGUCUGAACCAGCCAUGCCGCGUGAAGGAUUAAGGUCCUCUGGAUUGUAAACUUCUUUUAUCUGGGACGAAAAAAGGCGAUUCUUCGUCACUUGACGGUACCAGAUGAAUAAGCACCGGCUAACUCCGUGCCAGCAGCCGCGGUAAGAC